rnacentral:rRNA from 1 species
UACGUAGGGGGCAAGCGUUGUCCGGAUUUAUUGGGCGUAAAGAGCGUGUAGGCGGCCAUACAGGUCAGCUGUGAAAACUCGAGGCUCAACCUCGAGACGUCGGUUGAAACCGUAUGGCUAGAGUCCGGAAGAGGAGAGUGGAAUUCCCGGGUGAUAGCGGUGAAAUGCGCAGAUAUCGGGAAGAACACCCGUGGCGAAGGCGGCUCUCUGGGACGGUACUGACGCUGAGACGCGAAAGCGUGGGGAGCGAACGAGG